UAUAUAUAUAUAUAUAUAUAUAUAUAUAUACCCCCUUUUUUUUUUUUUUAUAUAUCAGUCAUACACACAUCAAGAAAACCAACCAAAAUUCAAUCUUGAACACUUCAACGAUCACCCAAAACAAUAAAACAGAUCAAUACCCAACAAAACAAAUCAAAUUCAGAAUCUAACUGAAAAACACAUAACAAAACAUACCCAAAUCAAGAAAAACGAACUCAAAAAUAAAAACAAUAUAUAUAGUGGAGACCCAUUUGAUUAACUGUUUAUAGUUGAAAAUUGAUAGCGGUGAUCGAAAAUUAAGUGGUAUGGAUCAUCGAUUCGUGUUGAAAAUGGAGAAGAGAGAAGCCUAUGAAUUGAAAAAAAAAAAAGUUUCAGUUUGGAAAGUAGAAGAAGAAGGGAGUGACAAAGACCAACG
rnacentral:lncRNA from 1 species